AGCGUAUUUUGCCCAGGCGGAGCUCGACCGCCCGUUCAAGCGAUGAAGGCCUUCAUCGACGAGCAUCGCGGCGUCUAUGGGGUCGAGCCGAUCUGCAAAGUGCUGCCGAUCGCCCCG
rfam:Aurantimonas sp. 22II-16-19i contig11, whole genome shotgun sequence.